UUCUGAGAGUCCCGGGCCCACAGGCAGGACAGGGCCAGACGUGGGGGCUGCUCCUCACGGCCUUACCUCCCCCAGACGUGCCUCUCAAUCCCUGACAUCAAGACGGCCUUCAGCGACUGCACCAGCAAGAUCGGCAGGCGAGAUUGCCUGACCCAGGCCUGCUCGGCCCUCACAGGCAAAGGGGUGCGCGAGGGCAUCGAGUGGAUGGUGAAGUGUGUCGUGCGGAAUGUGCACCGGCCGCCGCGGCAGAGGGACAUCACGUAGGCGCAGCCGCGCUGCCGUCGGGACGGCUGGUCCCCUGGUGCUGGAGGAGUGGCCUCCUGUUGGCUCCCAUGCUGCUGAUCUGGGGGGUGGGUUUGCUUUGCUUUGGGGUUCUUCUAUUUACUUUGUUUUCUCGAAGACAAACUUUCCUCUAUGUCUGGAAAAGCGUAGGCAUCCGGAGGCUUUGGAGGGGAGUCUGGCAGCCCGGCUGGCCCAGGCCCUGCAGCGGCAGCCUUUCCACAGGGCGCAGCGGCGGCCUUUCGAGGCCCUUUCUGGGGGGUCUGAGGGAGACCUGGUUGGGAAUUGGGGCUCCAGUGCUCAGGCUGGCUUGGGCUGCAUGAGGACAGCCCUGUGGGACCCUCGGGAGACCCCGUGGCUGUCUCCGCCCCAUCGAGGAGGAGGCCCGUCAGCCAUGGCUGCCAUCUGGCUUCUGCCCUGUGACCCCGUGACCCCGUGACCCCGGAAGUGGUCUGGGGCUGAUCUUGCCUUGAGGAAGACCCAGGCCAUGUUCCCAAAGGCCAGCGGGGGCCCUGGAUUGUGAUGCAGCCUCGGGACAGGGCUGAGGCCUGCGGGGGAAGACCUAUACCCCACGCCUGGGCCUGGCUUCACCUCACCCUAAUCCCCCGGGAGGGAGCUGACUGAUGCAAAAAGCUGAGGGGGCCUGCUGGGAGUGGCUGUUUUUAUGCCCCAGCCCCGCAAGUUGGGGAGUGUUUGUGGGGGUCCAGAGCCCUCCCCCAGCCAGGAGAGAACCUCCCGGAGGGGUUCUCUGUGGGGCCCUGUGUCCCCUGCUCGGGAGUAAGGCUGGUCCUGGGGUCCUCCCUGCACGGACCCCACUGGGCCUGCCGAGUGCUGUGUUCUUCCUCAGUCUGGCUGUGGGCAGGAGCGGCCUGCCCAGUGUCACCCAGGGUGAGUGCAAAAUAAAGACGGCGAGUGUGGCUCUGUCCAUCCCUUCCCUCCUGGAGGGUGGAGGCUCCUGGCUGUUGGACACGG
rnacentral:lncRNA from 1 species